rnacentral:rRNA from 1 species
UACGGGGGGAGCAAGCGUUGUUCGGAUUUACUGGGCGUAAAGGGCGCGUAGGCGGUCAGCACAAGUCAGUUGUGAAAUCUCCGGGCUUAACUCGGAAAGGUCAACUGAUACUGUGCGACUAGAGUGCAGAAGGGGCAACUGGAAUUCUCGGUGUAGCGGUGAAAUGCGUAGAUAUCGAAAGGAACACCUGCGGCGAAGGCGGGUUGCUGGGCUGACACUGACGCUGAUGCGCGAAAGCCAGGGGAGCGAACGGG